rnacentral:piRNA from 1 species
UCCCAUGUGUGGAAAUGCCGUUUGGAUAA